GAAAAGAAUGACACUGAAUCUGGCAGCCAGAGAAUCAGACCAGUAUUUGAAGAAGAUCCUGUUUUCCGACGGCAAACGUCUUACCAACAUGCAGCAGUUCACAUACCAACAGAUAUUUAUGAAGGCUGUAUAUAAUUCAUCUUAUGAAUUAGUUGGAGCCAUAAUUAAAGACCAUUGUGGAAGGAUCUAAAUUUACAAGAUGGAACUGGAGAUGAAUCAAAACUCCUACAUAUUCUGAUUUUCUUACCCAUUCUUUCUAUGUACUGUGUGCACAUAUAAUAUAAAGGAUUCUUGACAGAUCUUUA